CCUACGGGCGGCAGCAGUGGGGAAUAUUGCGCAAUGGGCGAAAGCCUGACGCAGCGACGCCGCGUGAGGGAUGAAGGUCUUCGGAUCGUAAACCUCUGUCAGCAGGGAAGAACGGUCACUGUGCUAAUCAGCAGUGAAUUGACGGUACCUGCAAAGGAAGCACCGGCUAACUCCGUGCCAGCAGCCGCGGUAAUACGGAGGGUGCGAGCGUUAAUGGGAAUUACUGGGCGUAAGGCGCUCGUAGGCGGUAUGUCAAGUCAAGGGUGAAAUCCCCGCGCUCAACGUGGGAACUGCCUUUGAAACUGGCAAACUGGAGGGGGUGAGAGGAUAGUGGAAGUCCAGGGGUAGGAGUGAAAGCCGUAGAUAUCUGGAGGAACAUCAGUGGCGAAGGCGACUAUCUGGCACAUAACUGACGCUGAGGAGCGAAAGCGUGGGUAGCAAACAGGAUUAGAUACCCUUGUAGUC
rnacentral:rRNA from 1 species